AGUGAACGCUGGCGGUAGGCCUAACACAUGCAAGUCGAACGGCAGCACAGUAAGAGCUUGCUCUUACGGGUGGCGAGUGGCGGACGGGUGAGGAAUACAUCGGAAUCUACUUUUUCGUGGGGGAGAACGUAGGGAAACUUACGCUAAUACCGCAUACGACCUACGGGUGAAAGCAGGGGAUCUUCGGACCUUGCGCGAUUGAAUGAGCCGAUGUCGGAUUAGCUAGUUGGCGGGGUAAAGGCCCACCAAGGCGACGAUCCGUAGCUGGUCUGAGAGGAUGAUCAGCCACACUGGAACUGAGACACGGUCCAGACUCCUACGGGAGGCAGCAGUGGGGAAUAUUGGACAAUGGGCGAAAGCCUGAUCCAGCCAUACCGCGUGGGUGAAGAAGGCCUUCGGGUUGUAAAGCCCUUUUGUUGGGGAAGAAAAGCAGCAGGUUAAUACCCCGCUGUUCUGACGGUACCAAAAGAAUAAGCACCGGCUAACUUCGUG
rnacentral:rRNA from 1 species